GGUUGAGUUAGUAUGGAUCAAGACUGGGAUUUGUCACUCCGUGUGACGGAGAGGUAUCUCGGGGCCCACUCGGUAAUACAACAUCACACACAAGCCUUGCAAGCAAAGUGACUUAAUGUAAGUUGCGGGAUCUUGUAUUACAGAACGAGUAAAGAGACUUGCCGGUAAACGAGAUUGAAAUAGGUAUACGNNNNNNNNNNGACUUAGUGUAAGUUUCGGGAUCUUGUAUUACGGAACGAGUAAAGAGACUUGCCGGUAAACGAGAUUGAAAUAGGUAUGCGGAUACUGACGAUCGAAUCUCGGGCAAGUAACAUACCGAAGGACAAAGGGAAUGACAUGCGGGAUUAUAUGAAUCCUUGGCACCGAGGUUCAAACGAUAAGAUCUUCGUAGAAUAUGUAGGAUCCAAUAUGGNNNNNNNNNNUUGACACUGAGGUUCAAACGAUAAGAUCUUCGCAGAAUAUGUAGGAUCCAAUAUGGGCAUCCAGGUCCCGCUAUUGGAUAUUGACCGAGGAGUCUCUCGGGUCAUGUCUACAUAGUUCUCGAACCCGCAGGGUCUGCACACUUAAGGUUCGACGUUGUUUUAUGUGUAUUUGAGUUAUAUGGUUGGUUGCCGAAUGUUGUUCGGAGUCCCGGAUGAGAUCACGGACGUCACGAGGGUUUCCGGAAUAGUCCGGAAACAAAGAUUGAUAUAUAGGAUGACCUCAUUUGAUUACCGGAAGGUUUUCGGAGUUACCGGGAAUGACGAAUGGGUUCCGGGAGUUCACCGGGGGGGCAACCCACCCCGGGGAAGCCCAUAGGCCAUAAGGGUGGCGCACCAGCCCUUAGUGGGCUGGUGGGACAGCCCAAAAGGUCCCUAUGCGCCAUAGAGAUAAAAAUCAAAGAGAAAGAAAAAAAAAGGGAGGUGGGAAGGAAGGGAAGGACUCCCACCCACCAAACCAAGUCCAACUCGGUUUGGGGGGGGAGCCUUCCCCCCUUGGACUCGGCCGACCCCCUUGGGGCUCCUUGAGCCCCAAGGCAAGGUCCCCUCCCUCCCACCUAUAUAUACGGAGGUAUUGGGGCUGAUUUGAGACGACUUUUCCACGGCAGCCCGACCACAUACCUCCACGGUUUUUCCUCUAGAUCGCGUUUCUGCGGAGCUCGGGCGGAGCCCUGCUGAGACAAGGUCAUCACCAACCUCCGGAGUGCCGUCACGCUGCCGAAAAAACUCUUCUACCUCUCUGUCUCUCUUGCUGGAUCAAGAAGGCCGAGAUCAUCGUCGAGCUGUACGNNNNNNNNNNAGAGCGCCGUCACGCUGCCGAAGAAACUCUUCUACCUCUCCGUCUCUCUUGCUGGAUCAAGAAGGCCGAGAUCAUCGUCGAGUUGUACGUGUGCUGAACGCGGAGGUGCCGUCCGUUCGGUACUAGAUCGUGGGACUGAUCGCGGGAUUAUUCGCGGGGCGAAUCGAGGGACGUGAGGACGUUCCACUACAUCAACCGCGUUCACUAACUCUUCUGCUGUACGAUCUACAAGGGUACGUAGAUCACUCAUCCCCUCUCGUAGAUGGACAUCACCAUGAUAGGUCUUCGUGCGCGUAGGAAAAUUUUUGUUUCCCAUGCGAAGUUUUCCAACAGUGGCAUCAUGAGCUAGGUUCAUGCGUAGAUGUCUUCUCGAGUAGAACACAAAAGUUUUUGUGGGCGGUGAUGUGCGUUUUGCUUCCCUCCUUAGUCUUUUCUUGAUUCCGCGGUAUUGUUGGAUUGAAGCGGCUUGGACCGACAUUACUCGUACGCUUACGAGAGACUGGUUUCAUCGUUACGAGUAACCCCGUUGCUCAAAGAUGACUGGCAAGUGUCGGUUUCUCCAACUUUAGUUGAAUCGGUUUUGACCGAGGAGGUCCUUGGAUGAGGUUAAAUAGCAACUCAUAUAUCUCCGUUGUGGUGUUUGCAUAAGUAAGAUGCGAUCCUACUAGAUACCCAUGGCCACCGCGUAAAACAUGCAACAACAAAAUUAGAGGACGUCUAACUUGUUUUUGCAGGGUAUGCUUGUUAUGUGAUAUGGCCAAUGAUGUGAUGUGAUAUAUUGGAUGUAUGAGAUGAUCAUGUUGUAAUAGAAAUAUCGACUUGCACGUCGAUGGUACGGCAACCGGCAGGAGCCAUAGGGUUGUCUUUAUACUAACAUAUGUGCUUGCAGAUGCGUUUACUAUUUUGCUAGGACGUAGCUUUAGUAGUAAUAGCAUGAGUAGCACGACAACCCCGAUGGCGACACGUUGAUGGAGAUCAUGAUGAUGGAGAUCAUGGUGUGACGCCGGUGACAAGAAGAUCGUGCCGGUGCUUUGGUCAUGGAGAUCAAGAAGCACGUAAUGAUGGCCAUAUCAUGUCACUUAUGAAUUGCAUGUGAUGUUAAUCCUUUUAUGCACCUUAUUUUGCUUAGAACGACGGUAGCAUUAUGAGGUGAUCUCUCACUAAAAUUUCAAGACGAAAUUGUGUUCUCCCCGACUGUGCACCGUUGCGACAGUUCUUCGUUUCGAGACACCACGUGAUGAUCGGGUGUGAUAGACUCAACGUUCACAUACAACGGGUGCAAAACAGUNNNNNNNNNNNNNNNNNNNNNNNNNNNNNNNNNNNNNNNNNNNNNNNNNNNNNNNNNNNNNNNNNNNNNNNNNNNNNNNNNNNNNNNNNNNNNNNNNNNNUUACAUCCCUGCAGGGGUGCACCACAUGUCCGGUCACGCUCGAUAACACUCUGGCCGGACAUACUUUUCUGGGUCCUGCCCGGCCUCGGAAUAUCGACACGUCGCAGCCCCACCUAAGACUAAUCAGAGAGGCCAGCCCGCCGGUCUAAAUCCUAAGCACAAAGGGUUCGUGGGCCCAGUUCCCCUUCACGCUCCUGCACGUGGCGUGGGCGGCCGACGUCAGUCCUAGCAUCCCUUAAUCACAAGCGCGAUGCAUCUCGGGACCACUCGGGCGCGCGCCGCUACAUUACUGGCAUCUGAAAAGCUUCGGCUGAUACCGCGACGCCGAGUACCCAUAAUUCUUCCCGCGUAGCCGGUUAGUGCGAAAAGGUCUCCGGCCAACCCAGAUCAAAUACCCAAAUCCAUUAGCAUUUUAAUUAAGCCAGCAUCACAGUCUCACGGGAAUCCACCCGUCUUACAACUAAUCACCAAUGAUCCCAGUAACAUGGUCGAGUAACUGUGUGGUUGUAACAUCGGGGGAAUCCGAGGUAUCACCCUCGUUGGAUUCCGAACGAUGUACCCGUCAAGGUAGGCUUAGAGGAAUCACCCUCGGGGGUCCCACACUCGCGGGGUGGCAUGACAGAGACGUCAUCGGGAAUGGUGAAAGAGGAAUCACCCUCGAUAACCACGACCGACUAGCUAUACUACAGAGAUAUCAUCAGGAGUACUUAGUGAGGUGUCACCCUCGGUAACCGAUAGUAUCUCUGUAGCGUCGUACAACAAAGGGGGGUGAAUGUGCUGUGUCGGGUCUGGCUCGUCGAUCAGAGAUCGAGAUUUGAAAACAAGCGGGGCAACUGAUCUACGGGGUCAGAGGGGAUGACUGCUCCACCUAUACUAAGCAUAUUAAAGGUACAUGACUGAAAGUAGCAGUUCAUAAAAAAUAGGCUAUGCAUCAGAUAUAGGAGCUAACUACAACAGUAGCAAAAUACUAAUGCAAGCAGUAGGAAGAAAGACAUAGGCGAUAUAGGAAUGAUCAAGUGGAGUUUGCUUGCCUUGCUGCUCUGCGGCAAAGGACUGAUCGGCAGGGUCGUAGAUGUACCCGGCAGCAGCGUCAGUCUCGGGGUCUACCGGUAAGAAGAGGGGGAAGAAACAAUAAAUAAUAGCACCGAUGCAACACAAAGCAUGACAUGGCAAGAUGCAGGCUAGACAUGAGCUAACGCAGCAACACCCGUCAUAGACAGGUCGGAAGAAUAUCUGACGAUAUUUUCCGGGUCUCGGGCUACUACCGGUAAUACUGGAAACGAUGGAAAAUGUUCCAUGUUUGCUAUGCUAGGGACGCGUGACAGACGAAUGGAACGUGUAUUCGGGUUCGUCUCGUUUUGCUGAUCAACUUUCAUGUUGAAANNNNNNNNNNNNNNNNNNNNNNNNNNNNNNNNNNNNNNNNNNNNNNNNNNNNNNNNNNNNNNNNNNNNNNNNNNNNNNNNNNNNNNNNNNNNNNNNNNNNNNNNNNNNNNNNNNNNNNNNNNNNNNNNNNNNNNNNNNNNNNNNNNNNNNNNNNNNNNNNNNNNNNNNNNNNNNNNNNNNNNNNNNNNNNNNNNNNNNNNNNNNNNNUAGGUUUUAUUUAAGAUUAAAUAUUAAUUAAUCAGAUUAAUUUAGUAGGGGACCCACGUGUCAUACUCUAAUUAUUCUAAUUAAUUAAUCUAAUUAACAGAUUAACUUAUAUAUUUAUUUAACUAAUUCAUUAACUCAUUAAUUAAUUAUUAUAUUUAUUUAUUUCUUUAUUUAAUAAAAACAUUAUUUUUAUUUUAACUGUCGCGUGGGGCCUCCCUGUCAUAGGCAGCGGCUUCAUUGGCCCCACCGGUAAGUGACCCGAGGCCAAAAACACAUUUUUAAUCACAAAUAUGUAACCAUACAAAUGUCGUAUCUCUCCACAUGCCUAUAUACGCAAAUACAUACAUAAAUACGGGUAUCAAAUACAUACAUACAUANNNNNNNNNNGGAAUUAAAAACAGAUUUAAAUGAUUUAAUAAAAGGCUAUUAUGACAUCAGCAUGAUGUCAUGCUGACAUCAAUGGUUGACUGGUCAAACUGGCCAGUGGGUCCCCGUCGUCAUAGUCACGGGUUUUAUUUAAGAUUAAAUAUGAAUUAAUCAGAUUAAUUUAGUGGGGGACCCACGUGUCAUACUCUAAUUAUUCUAAUUAAUUAAUAUAAUUAACAGAUUAACUUAUAUAUUUAUUUAACCAAUUCAUUAACUCAUUAAUUAAUUAUUAUAUCUAUUUAUUUAUUUAUUUAAUAAAAACAUUAUUUUUAUUUUAACUGUCGCGUGGGGGGCCUCCCUGUCAUAGACAGCGGGUGCAUUGGCCCCACCGGUAAGUGACCCUAGGCCAAAAACACAUUUUUAAUCACAAAUAUAUAACCAUACAAAUGUCGUAUCUCUCCACAUGCCUACAUACGCAAAUACAUACAUAAAUACGGGUAUCAAAUACAUACAUACAUACAUACGGAAUAUAACAUUUGAUUUUUUUUUUAUUUUCUCUCAAAACUCUCAUCUCCCUCUCUGUGUUAACAACUAUAACACAAAGGUUCUCUGCUAACUCCACAUAGAAGAACCAAAUGUUCGAUCCUUCCUACCGGAGNNNNNNNNNNCAACAUUUGAUUUUUUUUUAUUUUCUCUCAAAACUCUCAUCUCCCUCUCUCUGUUAACAACUAUAACAAAGAGGUUCUGUGCUAACUCCACAUAGAAGAACCAAAUGUUCGAUCCUUCCUACCGGAGUCUACCGUCGAUGGAUCGAGGUCCCGUUUGCCGGAACGGAACCGGGACGGCGAGGAGAACGACAUGGUGGGAGGAGCCCGAGGAGGGGCUCACCGACGUUGACGGGAGGGGCCGGUGAAGCCGGAGUUCGCGGGAAGGGGCGGAGGAGACGGCGUGGAGGCGGACGAGGCGGUGACGGUGACGAUGAUGCCGGUCACCAGAGAGGUCGUGCCGGCGAGGGGGAGCCGGCCGGACCCGGCGAGGCGAAGAAGUCUCCCUGCCCUGUCCCUCCUGGACCGAGCGGGAGGAAGGCCGACGGGGGCGGGGUUGUAGGCCGGCGAGGUGGAGGGCCGAGGUGGCCGGAGCCCCUGCCGGCGGGGUGGAGGCCNNNNNNNNNNNNNNNNNNNNNNNNNNNNNNNNNNNNNNNNNNNNNNNNNNNNNNNNNNNNNNNNNNNNNNNNNNNNNNNNNNNNNNNNNNNNNNNNNNNNUCGGUACUGAGCCGCAAACCGAAAAACCAUAGGCGGCCUCCAGGCCCAUGGCGCCUCCCCUUGAUCGGAAGCCUCCACCACGUCCUCACGUCGCAGCCGCAGGUCGCCCUCCGGGACCUGGCCAAGAAGCACGGCCCGGUCAUGUACCUCCGGUUCGGCCAGAUGGACACCGUCGUCGUCUCCUCGCCGGCCGCGGCGCAGGAGGUGCUCCGGGACAAGGACCUCUCAUUCGCGUCGCGGCCCAACAUCCUGGUCUCAGAGAUCUUCUGCUACGGGGGCCGCAACGUCAUCCUCGCGCCCUACGGCCCCUACUGGCGGAUGACGCGUAAGCUCUGCACGGUUGAGCUCCUGAGCGAACGCAAGGUGCGGCAGUUCGCGCCCUUCAGAGACAGCGAGACCAUGUCCCUUGUCGAGAACAUCCGCGCCGCCGGUCGGGGCUGUUGGCCCAGAACCGACCCCGAGUACUUUCUGGCGACGGCAGCGACCGACGACGAAGCGAAGCGAUCGAUCACCCGCAGUGUACAGCUAUCCAAACUAGCAAUCCAUCCUUUGACCUGUGUACGUUGCCUGAUGGAUGUGGUACACACGUACGAAACAGCUGCUAGCUAGUUACGAGCGGCUUAAUCAACUUCGCCGAGAGCAACACACGACACGGGAUUUUGAUGGCUAUAGGUGCGANNNNNNNNNNNNNNNNNNNNNNNNNNNNNNNNNNNNNNNNNNNNNNNNNNNNNNNNNNNNNNNNNNNNNNNNNNNNNNNNNNNNNNNNNNNNNNNNNNNNUGUUGAUUGGAAUACAGUACAAUUAGAAGACAUUACUGAUUUGGCCAUUGCAUCAAUGGCUGACACUGAGAUGGCCAAUUUUUUGUCAUUCCAGUAGAUGAUCAAGAUAAGGAAGAGAGGGGUCAAUCGAGUUUGCCUAAUGAUGCUAACAUAGAUGCUUGUAGCCCCGGCUAACUCUGUGCCCAACAACUACGGUAAGACGGGAGGGGGGGGGGUGUUCUUCGGAAUGACUACGCGUAAAGGCAUUUAUGCGGUGAAUCAGGUUGAAAGUGAAAGUUGCCAAAAAGUGGCAGAAUUUAAAGUGCUAGUUAUGGAUGAAAGCACAUAUGCUCCCUUGAUGGUUUUUAUAAUUCAUGGUAACAUACAUUGUCUGUUCGACUAAUACUUUUACCUAGUAUAUUUCAGAUAUAGUCCACAGAGAUGACUGGCUAAUGGAUUGUGUGGAGAAGCCCCAAGGAAGGAAAGGAAUAAGAUUGGCCAGCUUCAAGCUACAAGACUCUACAUUUUAUAUUUGUGAGAAAUCACUUUUAGGUCCAUAGGAAAGCCAAUACUAUUAAAANNNNNNNNNNNNNNNNNNNNNNNNNNNNNNNNNNNNNNNNNNNNNNNNNNNNNNNNNNNNNNNNNNNNNNNNNNNNNNNNNNNNNNNNNNNNNNNNNNNNGACCCGAGAGACUCCUCGGUCAAUAUCCAAUAGCGGGACCUGGAUGCCCAUAUUGGAUCCUACAUAUUCUACGAAGAUCUUAUCGUUUGAACCUCAGUGCCAAGGAUUCAUAUAAUCCCGUAUGUCAUUCCCUUUGUCCUUCGGUAUGUUAUUUGCCCGAGAUUCGAUCGUCAGUAUCCGUAUACCUAUUUCAAUCUCGUUUACCGGCAAGUCUCUUUACUCGUUCCGUAAUACAAGAUCCCGCAACUUACACUAAGUUACAUUNGCUUGCAAGGCUUGUGUGUGAUGUUGUAUUACCGAGUGGGCCCCGAGAUACCUCUCCGUCACACGGAGUGACAAAUCCCAGUCUUGAUCCAUACUAACUCAACCAACACCUUCGGAGAUACCUAUAGAGCAUCUUUAUAGUCACCCAGUUACGUUGCGACAUUUGAUACACACAAAGUAUUCCUUCGGUGUCAUUGAGUUAUAUGAUCUCAUGGUCAUAGGAAUAAAUACUUGACACGCAGAAAACAGUGGCAACAAAAUGACACGAUCAACAUGCUACGUCUAUUAGUUUGGGUCUAGUCCAUCACGUGAUUCUCCUAAUGACGUGAUCCAGUUAUCAAGCAACAACACCUUGUUCAUAGUCAGAAGACACUGACUAUCUUUGAUCAACUGGCUAGCCAACUAGAGGCUUGCUAGGGACGGUGUUUUGUCUAUGUAUCCACACAUGUAAAUGGGUCUUCAUUCAAUACAAUUAUAGCAUGGAUAAUAAACGAUUAUCUUGAUACAGGAAUUAUAAUAAUAACUAUAUUUAUUAUUGCCUCUAGGGCAUAAUUCCAACAGUCUCCCACUUGCACUAGAGUCAAUAAUCUAGCCCUCACAUCAUCAUGUGAAUUACAUUGUAAUAAAUCUAACACCCAUACAGUUCUGGUGUUGAUCAUGCUUUGGCCGUGGAAGAGGUUUAGUCAGCGGGUCUGCUACAUUCAGAUCUGUGUGCACUUUGCAUAUGUUUACGUCCUCUCCCUCGACGUAGUCGCGGAUGAGGUUGAAGCGUCGUUUGAUGUGUCUGGUCUUCUUGUGAAACCGUGGUUCCUUUGCUAAGGCAAUGGCACCCGUGUUAUCACAGAACAAGGUUAUUGGAUUCAGUGCGCUUGGCACCACUCCAAGAUCCGUCAUGAACUGCUUCAUCCAGACACCCUCCUUAGCCGCCUCCGAGGCAGCCAUGUACUCCGCUUCACAUGUAGAAUCUGCUACGACGCUUUUCUUGGAACUGCACCAGCUUACCGCACCCCCAUUAAGAAUAAAUACGUAUCCGGUUUGCGACUUAGAGUCGUCCGGAUCUGUGUCAAAGCUUGCAUCGACGUAACCUUUUACGGCGAGCUCUUCGUCACCUCCAUACACGAGAAACAUCUCCUUAGUCCUUUUCAGGUACUUCAGGAUAUUCUUGACCGCUGUCCAGUGAUCCACUCCUGGAUUACUCUGGAACCUACCUGCCAUACUUAUGGCCAGGCUAACAUCCGGUCUAGUGCACAGCAUCACAUACAUGAUAGAACCUAUGGCUGAAGCAUAGGGGACGGAGCGCAUAUGCUCUCUAUCUUCAUCAGUUGCUGGGCACUGAGUCUUACUCAAUCUCGUACCUUGUAGAACUGGCAAGAACCCUUUCUUGGACUGUUCCAUUUUGAACCUCUUCAAAACUUUAUCAAGGUAUGUGCUUUGUGAAAGUCCUAUCAAGCGUUUUGAUCUAUCCCUAUAGAUCUUAAUGCCUAGAAUGUAAGCAGCUUCUCCUAGGUCCUUCAUAGAGAAACUUUUAUUCAAGUAACCUUUUAUGCUCUCCAAAAACUCUACGUUGUUUCAAAUCAGUAAUAUGUCAUCCACAUAUAAUAUUAGAAACGCCAUAGAGCUCCCACUCACUUUCUUGAAAAUACAAGAUUCUCCAACCACUUGUAUAAACCCAAAUGCUUUGAUCACCUCAUCAAAGCGUUUGUUCCAACUCCGAGAUGCUUGCACCAGUCCAUAAAUGGAUCGUUGGAGCUUGCACACCUUGUUAGCAUUCUUAGGAUCGACAAAACCUUCGGGUUGUAUCAUAUACAACUCUUCCUUAAGGAAACCGUUAAGGAACACCGUUUUGACAUCCAUUUGCCAGAUUUCAUAAUCGAAAAAUGCAGCUAUUGCUAACAUGAUUCUGACGGACUUAAGCAUUGCUACGGGUGAGAAAGUCUCAUCGUAGUCAACUCCUUGAACUUGUGAAAAACCCUUUGCCACAAGUCGAGCUUUAUAAACGGUCACAUUGCCGUCAGCGUCCGUCUUCCUCUUAAAGAUCCAUUUGUUCUGAAUGGCCUUGCGGCCCUCAGGUAGUACCUCCAAAGUCCACACUUUGUUCCCAUACAUGGAUCCUAUCUCGGAUUUCAUGGCCUCUAGCCAUUUGUUGGAAUCUGGGCCCACCAUUGCUUCUUCAUAAUUUACAUGUUCAUUGUUGUCUAACAACAUGAUUGACAAAACGGGAUUACCGUACCACUCUGGAGCAGCACGUGGUCUCAUCGACCUGCGUGGUUCGAUAGGAACUUGAACCGGAGUUUCAUGAUCAUCAUCAUUAACUUCCUCCUCAACCGGCGUCGCAACGACAGGGGUUUCCCCUUGCCCUGCGCCACCAUCCAGAGGGAUGAGAGGUUCGACAACCUCAUCAAGUUCUAUCUUCCUCCAACUCAAUUCUCUCGAGAGAAACUCCUUCUCGAGAAAAGCUCCGUUUUUAGCAACAAACACUUUGCCCUCGGAUUUGAGAUAGAAGGUGUACCCAACUGUCUCUUUUGGGUAACCUAUGAAGAUGCACUUUUCCGCUUUGGGUUCCAGCUUUUCAGGCUGAAGCUUUUUGACAUAAGCAUCACAUCCCCAAACUUUAAGAAACGACAACUUUGGCCUUUUGCCAUACCACAUUUCGUAUGGUGUCGUCUCAACGGAUUUUGAUGGUGCCCUAUUUAAAGUGAAUGCAGCUGUGUCUAAUGCAUAACCCCAAAAUGAUAAUGGCAAAUCGGUAAGAGACAUCAUAGAUCGCACCAUCUCUAAUAAAGUACGAUUACGAUGUUCGGACACACCAUUACGCUGUGGUGUUCCAGGCGGUGUCAACUGUGAAACAGUUCCACAUUGUCUUAAGUGAGCACCAAACUCGAAACUCAGAUAUUCACCCCCAUGAUCAGACAGUAGGAACUUGAUCUUCUUGUUACGAUGAUUUUCAACUUCACUCUGAAAUUGCUUGAACUUUUCAAAUGUUUCAGACUUGUGCUUCAUCAAGUAGACAUAACCAUAUCUACUUAAAUCGUCAGUGAAGGUGAGAAAAUAACGAUAUCCGCCGCGUGCCUCCACGCUCAUCGGACCACACACAUCGGUAUGUAUGAUUUCCAACAAGUCACUUGCACGGUCCAUUGUUCCGGAGAACGGAGUCUUAGUCAUCUUGCCCAUGAGGCAUGGUUCGCACGUGUCAAGUGAAUCAAAGUCAAGUGACUCCAAAAGUCCAUCAGCAUGGAGUUUCUUCAUGCGCUUUACACCAAUAUGACCUAAGCGGCAGUGCCACAAAAAUAUGGCGCUAUCAUUGUUAACUCUAACUCUUUUGGUCUCAAUGUUAUGUAUAUGCGUAUCGCUAACAAGAUUCAAUAUGAACAAUCCUCUCACAUUCGGUGCAUGACCAUAAAAGAUGUUACUCAUAGAAAUAGAACAACCAUUAUUCUCUGACUUAAAAGAGUAACCGUCUCGCAAUAAACAAGAUCCAGAUAUAAUGUUCGUGCUCAACGCAGGCACUAAAUAACAAUGAUUUAAGUUCAUCACUAAUCCUGACGGUAACUGAAGUGACACUGUGCCGACGGCGAUUGCAUCAACCUUGGAACCAUUUCCUACGCGCAUCGUCACUUCAUCUUUUGCCAACCUUCGUCUAUUCCACAAUUCCUGUUUCGAGUUGCAAAUAUGAGCAACAGAACCGGUAUCGAAUACCCAGGCACUACUACGAGAGCCGGUUAAGUACACAUCAAUAACAUGUAUAUCAAAUAUACCUGAUUUUUCUUUGGCCGCCUUCUUAUCUGCCAGAUACUUGGGGCAAUUGCGCUUCCAGUGACCCAUACCCUUGCAAUAGUAACACUCCAUUUCAGGCUUAGGUCCAGCUUUGGGUUUCUUCGUCGGAUUGGCAACAGGCUUGCCGCUCUUCUUCGAAUUGCCCUUCUUGCCUUUGCCGUUUCUCUUGAAACUAGUGGUCUUAUUCACCAUCAACACUUGAUGCUCUUUACGGAGUUCAGACUCUGCGACUUUCAGCAUCGCAAACAACUCGCCGGGAGACUUGUUCAUCCCUUGCAUGUUGUAGUUCAACACAAAGCCUUUAUAGCUUGGCGGCAAUGAUUGAAGGAUUCUGUUAGUGAUAGCUUCUUGCGGGAGUUCAAUCCCCAGCUCAGCUAGACGGUUUGAGUACCCAGACAUUUUGAGCACAUGUUCACUGACAGAUGAGUUUUCCUCCAUCUUGCAAGCAUAGAAUUUAUCGGAGGUCUCAUACCUCUCGAUCCGGGCGUUCUUCUGAAAGAUAAACUUCAACUCCUGGAACAUCUCAAAUGCUCCAUGACGCUCAAAGCGACGUUGAAGUCCCGGUUCUAAGCCAUACAAGACUGCACAUUGAACUAUUGAGUAGUCCUCCUUAUGUGCUAACCAAGCGUUCUUAACAUCCUGAUCAGCCGUAGCGGGUGGUUCAUCUCCUAACGCAGCAUUAAGGACAUAAUCCUUCUUCCCAGCUUGUAAGAUUAGCUUAAGAUUACGAGCCCAGUCUACANNNNNNNNNNNNNNNNNNNNNNNNNNNNNNNNNNNNNNNNNNNNNNNNNNNNNNNNNNNNNNNNNNNNNNNNNNNNNNNNNNNNNNNNNNNNNNNNNNNNUGAGAAUUCUUCCCUGCCUGGGUGUGCCCUUAAUGAAUUCAUCCGUUGGCGGCUAUAGCGAGAUCUGGGUCAGAGUCUAUCUCCCCAUCCCUCCGGCGAGGUAGCAAUGAGCUAUCAAACGCCAAUAGAGGACAGAUCAUGUUGUCCGUUUGUUUCAGCGCCACAAUCUUUGUUCGUUCCUACAGCAUCUAAAUCAGCACUGGGAGCGGUUCCAGAUGCACUUUCAGGUGAAGUCACAUCAGACGUUUUCGAGGAUGUUCUUGCACAUUGCUGGGGUAUCGAAACCCGUGAAACCGGGGCUACUGCCAUUACAACUUGAUCGAAGGGAUGGCAUUAGGUAGACAACAACCUCUCUUGAGCGCCGCCUUGAUGGCUUUGUGAAUGAAAUUCGAGUAGAUGUUGUUUCAUCCCGCGUAUGUCUAGAAUCUUGUUAGGAUUCGUCUAUUCCAGGUCAGGAAAGAGCUUCUGUAAACUAUCGUGAUAAGCAUAGCCUUCGCCCCGCAGAGUGUUAUAUCAAUGGUUCACCAGGCUCAAUUCAUUAAUGGCUUAGGGCCGGUCUUCAGUAAGUCAAUCACCAUCGGGUGGAGGGGAAAGCCCUACGUCAAGGUCAAUGGAUUCACCUACCCCAGUCUUAGAACUUUCUAGACUUUCUUACCUGUGUUCUUCUCAACUAAGAGAAGGGCGUGCAUCUACAGCAGUGGUAUUAUCUUCCUUUUUCUUUUUGCAUCUUUGAAUCCUGGUGUGUUGGUUAGUACCGAAGCCUCUUGGCUAGUACAGAGUUGUGGUUUGAUAUAGCUACUAGAGAACCUGGAGGCACUCUCUGAAAAUAAGUAUUCUUCAUAUGACAUGUGAAUAGACAACUCCUGGUAUGCUCAUUUCAUUCCUCUUGGACCUAGAUCUUCACUUUCAAAAGUGCAGAAUUGAUGUAUCAAAGGCAUUUCAAAGGAACAGAGGGUCCAUCUUUGAAGUGAGAGACAAUUGGUUUCAACUGUGUCGUAGGGGUUGUAUUCUUAGACCUGCCAGGCGGGAGGAACCACCGUCCUGGGUAUUGAGCAUGUGAAUCAUGUUAUUUUGUAGGAAUAGAGAUUCUCAGCCAUCAUAUCUUGUUCACCCUUGGCCAUGUCUCCUUCCGAGAAUGAGUUGGUUUGGGAAGAUCAUUAGGUUACUGAGAUCGAAGUAGUGAGGCUGCUUGAGUGCCAUCGAAACCCAUUUGAAAUUGCAAUGACAUAUUGAAGUAGUAGUUCGUUCAGCACUCGAUUAGGUAUCUGGAAAUAGUUCCUUAGCUCUUUUCUAGUUCGUUAAUGACCUCAGCGGUUGAAAUGGAAUUGGAUCCCGGCUUGUUAGUUAAUAGAAUCUAAAUGAGAUUGAAUGGAAAUGUUGGUAAACCGAGGGGUGCAUCAUACUUUUCAAUAGAUGUUGGGGUUCCUAAACCAUAAGGAUACUCUUUUCAUAGAACAAGGCCUGCCAAUCGAUCUCCUAGGCUAUAAUCCAAGGGAUAGAUUAACAUGCAUCUCCUAGAUGGAAGUGUGCGACAAUAACUUUGAGCUCCUGUAGUCUUUGAUCGUUGAUCUGAAGAGGUAGGCAGCUAUGAUAAAGAAGCCAAGGGAUGAAGUGAUUGUGGUUGGCGUGCCACAUGGAAACUAGAUAGGUGGAAGCUAUUUUAGACGACCUUGCGGGUCAUCCUAACAUUGAAAUGAAGCUAUUCGAGCAGACAGUGAAUAAAGCUAUGAAUGGGGGUAGCUUUACGAGGCAUAAUGCCGGUGUGCACUUUUCUUUUCUCAAACUGUGGUUGAUCCUCUCUAAAUCUGAGGUCAACAUUUCUUUGCAAUGAACGUUUAUUAGGUAUGGAAAACCUUGUUAGGUGCAUUCGUAGGUGAGCUCAAAGCGAGGAUUCAUGCGUUCUUUCUUCUCAAGAAGACGGAAUGAUUGCUCGUUAUGAUAUAGAUUCUUAGCCAGGGGUUUGGUAGCUUAUGCCCCCUAGUUUGCAACGUAGAGCAGAAAUGGUUGAAACGGCUCCCAUUGUGUGUGCGAAUUCUUUCAAAUGCGCAUGGCCUCUCAUAUCUUGAAUCGCUCAUCGGAUUGUUCGGGAGCUAUUGACUUGGUCAUCAUUUGAUUCCACUUCCCCGCCUUUAGUUGGAAGGUUCCAUUUGUCAUAAAUUACUUGUCAAAGAUGGGAUAUCUUGGCUGCCGUGAAUGAUACUGAGCUACCGGAUCUCGGGACCAUGGUGAAUUACCUACCAUGCAAUGGGGUCUGCUUUGUAAAACAAGUAAAGUGCACGAAGACGUGUCAAAGGGAAGGAAUAGAACUUGUUUGGCUGUUCGACCCGCGUCGGUUGUUGAUAUUGGAUGAGAUAGCUCGAGAAGGGAACAAAGAAUUCCAACUGGCUGUGGCGAGCGCUCUCCUACUGUUAGUGGCUUAGCUUCGGGGCUCGACUCCUCGAUGGAAUAAAGAUAGAGCUAUUAACCCAUACGCCCUCUUGUUUAAGGUUUCAUAGUUUAGGCAACUACAAUUCUUGUUUGUAUUAGAAUGCAUAGUUGUUUGAAACUAAAGGAAAGGAAUGCUGAUUCGAAUAGGGAUAGGUGAUAUCUUUGAUAGGUCCCCAGUUGUUAGAAUGAGGGAAAACCUAGUGUUAGAUUAAGGAUUCCCCUGAUCAAAAGCGGAUUUCGUUGAGAAGAUGUCAUGGUUGUUGGGGAUCCAAAGUAGUUUCUCUUUCUCACCAGCAAAGCAUAGAAUAUGGAACAAAGAAAUGGUGUAUAAUACCCGUAUUCCAAUAAUAAAUCACUUAAUCUGCUGCCCAUGUUGAAAAACCUCUUACUUGUACGAGCUAUGGUACUGGCGUACCUCUCAAGUUGUGCCCCGAGGCCAGUUCAUCAUCUUGAUCUUUUGGUUAGUACGAACGAUGAAGCAGCAGAUACCGGGGUUCUUGCUUGCCUUUUUUCUGACUGCGACUUGCCUAGGUAUCCACCUUAGGCGCCGCUCUCUUGUUUCACUCACAAUUCCGUAGUUGACCGAGCAAUUUCGUCAUUUCCAAAAGUGCACUUCGUUUUUCACUGGCUCGGGCGUACCCCGACCGAAGGGAGUGAAAUCGGUGCCUUUUCUUUCCCAUGCAAAUUCAUAUGGCACUUCCCACAAGCGAGGGGUGAGCAGGAGAAGGAAAGAUUUAUGAAUACCUAUUGCUUCGAGACUCCACUCACCAUGUCAGUAAACCUUAUAACAGUUAUGGCAGGCAGGAGGUGAUAAGAAAGUAAUUGUAAACAGCCAUCCAAUUGAUAAUAUUUCCUACGGAAAGAUUUGGGCUUGCAUACGUUUUCGAGUAACCCAGAAUGAAUGCAUUCUUCUUUACUACCAUUAUAACCAUUGGUAAGCCGAUCUAUCAUCAAGGGUCCCUAUCGCCAAUUCUCGCCAUCAGAAAUAGGCCUUAGAAUCGCAUCCCUUUUUCUCUUAGUAGAAGUCCCAUAUCUGUCUCAUCGAUCUGGAUAUAACGCAUUGCUCGAGCAAAACAUCUUCCUUUUGCGGAAGGAUCGGCAGGUAUGAGGGACACAUAUUUGAAGCCCUCGGACACAGGCUCAUUAGGAAAGAAUUGACACUUUUGGCCUUCGUCGUCAGGCCUAGGCCUUAGGUUUACCUUGCUCUAGCGCAGUCAUAUCCAAAUUCAAGAUCAAUCGGAGAAGCUGGCCCUUCGCCUCGAGGAAAUCCCUCUGGAGAUUCAACAUACCCGGAACUGGCAGAUACUAAAGACUAAAGUCAAUGGCAUUCGGUUGGAUAAUCUACUUCGACUUCGCUAUGAGGCUUUUAUUCUGAGUAUAGAAACGGCAUCGGCAUAGGAAAUCGUACAUCAACACCUCAAACGGAGGUUAUAGAAGAGCUACCCACUGGCAUACUCCCUUUUCGCCAAGGAUUUCAGCUUGCACAGAGCUAGAGGAGAGAAACGUCCAACGCUGGCAAGUCAUCACUUUCGUCUUCUUUAGUGCACUCUAGCCCAAAGACUUCUGCUUAUCCAUAUUCAUGGAAUUGUUCUUCGCGGAGUUCAGAAAUAUCAGGAUACUGAGGGCUUCUUUCUCACGCCUAGCAAAGAUCGAGUUCUGUUCUCACUUCACUUAAUGAGCCUAUUUCUCUGUUUUUAUACCCGUUUAGAUAGAUGGGCUCUAAGGGAGAAGUGGCGCACUUUCUCGAGCUAUCUAAGCAUCCAGGGAAGUGAUUCCACAAGCUAGAGAGAUUAUCCUCUUUUCUUUUUCAGAGUUGAGCUCAGGCUAAAGCCAAGCAUGGAUCAAUGUUUGUCAAAUCAUUCUCUGUUGAGUUGAGUCCUCGCCGAAGGUGUCGUGUCGUAUAGUAGUUCUCCGGUUAUAGGUGAUAGGUGCAUGGCUUCCGCUCAUAAAGAAUGAGUGAGACCAGCGCUCAAUCAAUCAGCCACCAAUAGAGGAUAAAGGAAAAAGGGGUUCAUCAAUGAGAGGCGCAUGAGAUUCUGUAUUGGCCAACUCUUUCUAACUAUCAUUAGGACGGAUACUUCGAUUCUCUAUGGACGAUUUCCUUCUCUCUCGUUCAAUGCCCUUUGGUCUCGAGGAUCACCAUUGGUGGGGUUGGGGUCACACCCGAAGUCGUAUUGGAGAAUUGAGCGGAACUACUUCCAUGUGCACUCUUUUAUCGGGUUAGGAAGCCCUGUUUUUGAAGCAGGAAGACCUCUUCGUCAUCAUUAUUGGGGUAUGGGCCCUAAAUCAUUGGAAAAGACGAUUUUCUUUAGGGAAUUUACACGAUAUCGCCUCCUUCUGUACUAACAAGGGAAUGGAUGAGUUCACUUAAGAAGCAGGCCUGGCCGGUACUAAAACAGAGAAGUCAGCUCAGGUUUCAUCUCAUCUAAGCAGCAGCCAAGCGAUGAUUCUGGAAUCGUGCCAUGCUUGACAGUUGGACUUCUCGCCAUACAUAGAAAUGAACUGCUGAUGAGCUAGCUAUCCCCGAUAUGAUCUGGUACUAGACUUCACACAUGUUGCCAUUGUAUAAUCGGAGAAUCAAUGCUGAUGUCUACCUUCCGAAAGCUAAAUAGAUGAUUUUCGAUACUAGGAUGACUACUCCCGAGGCCUGUUUUAACUAAAGAAUUUACAGGUGGCCCGGUCGGUAAACUAUUCCCGAGAGAGAAGCAGAAACAUCAAUCUGUAUUUUCGUAUCAUAUUCCAGCAGCUCCAAUGCCUUAGAGCGGGAUCUUAUCUUCCUAGAAAGAAAUGAGUGUUGCACACGGAUAGCCAGCUACUCCUUAUGAAUGGGAUGCAUGCAUAUUUCAAUUCAUGAAUUGAAGCUCGUAGAAAUCCUUCCUAUCCGCCUAGUUACCUAUCCGGACUUGUUUCGUAGAAAUCCUACCUUGCUUUUAGGCGGAGAAAGACUAUUUUUUAGUUUCUUCGGUGCAAAAGUGCCGUAGGCAAGUCCGUUUCAUAUAGCUGCAAAAGUUAGCAAGUCCUUUUUCCCUAAGGAAACUCGAUUUCCAAUGAAAAAAGUGCGGAUCACUAUGGGUCAAAAGUAGUGUUUUUCUAGUUUACCUCAAAAAUGCAUGUUUUGAGAGCAAUAUUUUUCGAUUAAGUCCUAAUCACUUAGCUGUAAAAGUAGGCUUUUUUCAUCUCCCAAAACCCAGGCCCUCUCCACAAAACUCCACACCAAGCCUUUAGAUACGCAAAUAUGAGCUUGCCUUGGCUUUAUUGCCCUUAUCGGAUGGAAGUUACGGAUGAGAAAUGACGUAUCUUACGUAUCGAAUCUCAAGUAACGGAUGAGAAUUGACGUAUUCAAAGUGGAAAGAACGAAUAUCGAUUCUCGUGGAUGAACGGAGGAAAUGGGAACUUGGUCUUUGCACUCUUGUUUCGGGGGGGGGGGGUUAUCCCAUGACAUGAAAAAGACCAAUCAAAAACUUCUGCAAGUUAAUCCCUACUAUCAAUGUCAUGCAGGAAACUGACACACCAAAUGAUGCCACAGAAGAGAUUGCAGUACAAGAAGAAGAAAUCCCACAGGAUCAGGACUCCCCUCCAAAUGAGUAUCUCAUGCAUAUUUCGGCUCAUGCAGUUUCAGGGCAGGUCACUGCUGGCACAUUUUCAGUCAAGGUCACUGUUGGUGGACAAACAGGCAUUGACCUUAUUGAUACCGGCAGUUCAAGUACAUUCAUUGAUUUGUAUUUAGCAGUUAGAACCACUUGCCAUAUCCAAAAGAAAAAAUCGGCUAAAAUAGCUGUGGCUGGGGGAGGCCAACUUACAUCUAGGGCAAUCAUAGCAGACACUGCAUUCUGCUUCUUGGUUUUCCAAAGGUCCGGAGGAGCGGAAGAGUUUCUAGUCGAGAAGGGUCGGGCAUUAGCAAAUCCUUCAAUCCCAACUCUUGAAAAGAAGAAACCAAUUUUUAGGCAUCUCCUCCCCUCGGGUAAUAUUAUCAUAUAGAAAGAAACGUUGCGAUUCCAUUGCAUCUUAGACAUUUAACUGAUGCGGGGCGGGGAAUCGAGUCUAUUCAGGAGUGCAUUUCCCUAGCAGACGAGGUGAUUGAUGCACGAUCUUGUCAAAUUGAUUGAUUUAGCUGGCGACGAAAAAGAGCACGAAAUGCAACUUGAAAACGCAUAUGUUAAGUACCUUCGUUGAUGAGAUGCUUAACAUGUCGAUUCAUUUCAUCUUGUUUAUGAAUCAGUACCAAAUCCCGAUCAAACUCUAAAUCAAUGUUUUGUUUUUCACUCUCAAAUUAUCAUAGAGAAAGAGUUGAUGUGAGAUGAGACUAUUCUCGAUCGAUAAAUGCGAUAGGAGCCUAUGUGUUUCACGGGCAGCCGGCCAAUAGGGGAAGGUUGUGAAUCCGGCGAACCGACCGCUUUAAGAACAUGAUUGUCUUCUCUCACUCAGUUAUCAAUUGACAAAGAUGACCCAUUCUUUUUUGCCCUAAAAACAACAAUGGUAUGGUACUUUUUCUUCAAAUCGAGAUUGUGUGGGUGUCCGCUCAUGUUCACGUUACAUGCUAAAUCAGGCUUUCCUUGGAAAAACCAAGGACAACCCCUAUCUCAGUCUCCUUUCUCUUUUCAGGAGCUCCAACCUCCGCGCCUAGCCGCAGCCUAAACGCUGGUUCUAUCCCGGCCAAGCAAGCAAGGGGAACCCCGGUGGGAAGAGGGAAAGAAAGAUCAGGGGAAGAAGCGGGGUAGAGGAAUUGGUCGACUCAUCAGGCUCAUGAUCUGAAGACAACAGGUUCGAAUCCUGUCCCCGCCUCUGCAUAAGUAUCCACCGACUUUCAUGGUUUUCAUGUGAUUAUAGGUACUCUUUUCUUGAUCGUAGAACCUUGCGACUGCAUGCCAAAAUGCCUUUCAUUUCUCUUAGAGGGUCUUUCUUUGUCCUACUUAUAGUAUCUUUCCUCCAGCCUAUCGAAACUCGUGUUUUUAUUAACCAACAACACAUGCACUUUGAUAGAACUAAAGAAAAGGUUAUUCAAUCCACUAGUGCAACUGAAGUGAAGGAAUUACCUAUUCUGAACCUCCACAAGAAAGAGCUCAUAACCACUGCUUGUGAACAGUUCUCCUCAACUGAAGGCGCACUACUGUUACUAUCAGUCUAGUCUCUCGAGGGCACUCUUUCGAUCUCGAACAAACUUACUUCUCCGGAAGAGAGAUAUUCAAAAAAACCCGAUUUCCAGUCCUGUCUUAAGAACGCGACUCCAAAGACCCCCCCCAAAAGAAAAGCCAAUACGCCAUGUAUCAAAACAAUAGGGAUAGGGGUAGUUGUAUACCACCUACGAAUAGGAAGAUCCUGGGUUUUGUAAGAAAACUACGAAUAGGAAGAUCCUGGGUUUUGUAAGAAAUCCAAUUUCAUCAAUUCUAAGCACGGUAACGGUAGUGCUCCUAUCCAACGGCCGGGGAUCUAUUCGAUUUCUCAAUUUGCUAAUGCCGAUAAGCUUAGGUUGUUAUUUCAUCGUCUUGCGCUAAAAAGGCACCCUCCUAUUAUGCUAACAAAGGGAUGGAUAACGGCAAAGCGGAACAGCAAUAGCGAAAGCAGGUACAGUAACGGCGCAAUCCCUAAAAAAGAAUCAAAAUAGAGAAAUUUAGAGCGUUGCGAAUUUCUUAUUUUGAUAAUGCUACCCACACAGUCACGACUCCUAUCCGGUCACCGGGUUAAACAAUUGAUUCCUCUCAACGCAUCCCCGCGGUAAAGAGCUAGUCGUAUUCUUUUGAUAAUUCUCUAGUUGUAUUCAAGCAAGAGUCCUCGGCAUCCUACGAAAACAAGCGCUAGGAAUAUCAAUAGCGUUAGCGUUAGCGUCCUGGCCUUUGCUUGGGGAUUCCUCUAUGGAAUUCCAAACAUGCCAUUGCUUUGCCUUUGCUCGUCCCUUUGAUUCAAUCCUUCUUCUCCUCGAAAGCUACAACUAGAAAAUAUAUUCUUCUUUGCCGGUGCGAACCCUUCUUUUGAAUAACAACCAUUGGCAAGACCAGCGAAAUCCGAAUACUAAUCCGAGGAAAGCCCAUCCCUACUUCCCUUUGCUAUUGUUCCUCGAAAUCCUCUACUAGUCAUUGGUUUCAAAGCAAAGGUAUCCGGUAUAGGGGGUCGUGGGCAGGUUAGUGUUUCAUUUCGAUAGGUGAUAGUGGUAUGCCCAAACCAUAUGGUAUAGGUCUUGGAAAGGAAAGUAAAUCAAGUCCAUCUUACAGGAUUUCUUCACUUGCUUGGGCUUAAGCGGUACCAGUACCUGGAGAAUAGUUCAAUUCUCUUUCUCCACAUGGCACCCUUGUGUUGUCAAACUAAUGAAGCCCUCUCCGCCCCUGCUCCGACAAAGCAAUAAGCACUAGGGUAUUCACCCACCCGCCAGUUCGAAUACCCGGUUUCCUCCCCUUCCGCUCAAGCUAAAGGUUCUGGGCUACGCCUUCCGGUUCCGUAUUCCGAUUCGUCUUCGGAUAGCAUUAGAAAAUCCCUUUCAUGCCUUGCCAAUACAACUAUUAUUUUUCUUAGCCGAGGAGCCUUUGGAAGUACCGUUGUUGGAUCGGAUUGAGCCAUUAUAGGAUCGGAUAAAGAUUCACUCUUUGCCAAUGCCUGCUUCCUUGGUUUCCUACUUUCUGCAUCGAAAGUGACUUUUUGCUCAGUAUCGAGAACCACUUCUUCUCCUUUUCGAGGCGUAGAUCGCCCCUCAUCUGAUUUGCUUCGUCAAAGCGGAUAGAAUUAUGGAAUUGAUUAUAUUCGUAGAAAAAGCACCCCCAUUUAAUAAGUCCUCGGAAAUGAUCUCAUCCAGUACUUCUCUCAGCCUAUUUGCCAAGACUUUGGAGCAUAGCUUGUAAAUGACAUUGCACAAAGAUAUCGGCCUAUACUGUGAUAUUUCUUGGGGGUUCUACUGUCAGCAAGUGCACUAUUAUUUACUUCACCGCGUACUUAAAGAAUUGUUGGUAGCAAAGAACAGCACCUGAUAGAAAGGAUGCUAACCAAGCCUCUUCUGUUUAAGCAAGGCUAAGCCAGAAUAAGGGGUACAGUAGGCUGGUGACCCUGACGAUAGCACUAAGACUGCCUCGGGAAUCUCCUCAAUCGUUGAAGAGUGCCUCAGGAAUUGAAUAAAAGCACUGAUAUCCAUAUAAUCCUACAAUUAUGCUCUAUUCUCUUGAAGAGAAGACACCUGAACUUCGUCAUGUGCUAUUGAUCCUUUUGAACCUAAAUUCACAUUGGCUCUUUUUGGCAUACAACUUUUGUUUUUCUGUGAAAGUCCUCCUUCCUCUGGACAAAGAUUACAUUAGAGGUGCCUCGACCCGAAAGAGCAUGAUACAAUCAAUUAGGACGUAGCUCUGCUACAAGAAAGGAUAGGACUUUUGCCAGGUCUAGAGUUCGACUUCUAAAAAGAGAAUUCUAUAACAAAAAGAAAGAAAAGAGGAGGAAGCUGGACUUACCUCUGUUCGAGAUACAAUGAAUCGAAUAAAUAAGUCUUAUGGAUGAAUGUUGAAGACGGACGAUACAACCCUACUAAAAGUCACAAAGCUCACUUCGCUAUCAGGCCUAGCAGCUGCUUCAUAAUAUAGGUGAGAUAGAUUAAUUGCUUCCUAAUAUAGGUGAGAUAGAUUAAUUGAUUUUUUCUUUUUUUUGUUAUAGAAUUCUAAAUCGAGCAUUAGUUUGAACGACAUAGAAAACUCUUUUCCAACUAAGCACUCUUGAGCAUCAAGCAAUUAUAUGGCUUGGAUUCGGAAUGGUCACAGCCCUUUCAUGGCUGGAUAUGCACACCUACAGUUCAUUAAUGGAAAUUCACUUUUCUUAGCGCCCUAGUGUUUCAAAGCACAGGAGAUAUCUGUGGAACUGUUGUUUUUCUUAGGGCAAGCUAGCAGAUAGAAGUAAUCUAUCUGGUUAGCCAGGCGAAGCAUUUAGGGUUCAGUGCCUGGUUUCAAGUGUUCUUCUUCAUAGUUUGGCACUUCACUUUUUGUUGAGUAAUCCAAUGGCCUAAUGACACAUGCACAUCUUUUGGUGCUGUCGCGUUACUUAGUGACUAGCUCAAGUGCAUUUGAUCGCAAAAAAGACUGGCAUUGGCUCCGGUCAAAUCUACAGGGGGCAUGCAAAUCAAAUGUGAAAGAAAGGAAAACAUUUCUGUUUCUUCUGCUCCAAUGUCGUGAUACACUCAGGAUGUUUACGAUACCUACCCAUUAAUUGCUCUAACUUCUCGUGGUUCACCCCUAGCUAUGCCCGCUUCUAUGAAAUUCCAAAUUAUGCUUGCAAGCUCAUUGGAGCUAGGCAACUCUUUAUCAGUGAUUUCAUGCCUACCAAGCAGGUACGCUCUAAUGUAUACACCCUUUAAGAAAAGAAAUCCUUCUCGUAUUCUGCUGCUUUUUUGAUUCAUUUUAUCCCAAUAAUAGCAUAGACAUCAUAUAUUUAUUCUUGCAAGCUCAAGUGCUUGAUUGUUGACAAAUUCUUCUCUCAGCAGGGCACCUCAGGUAUCUAUCUAUAGUUUCCUGUCUUGAAGGGGGGCGACGCAGCUAUUUUCUUUAACAGCACGUCAUUUAACGAGGUGUUUUCGUUAUUUGGUCAUCACUAAAAAGUUUAUAGUGAUAAAGUGAGCCUAUUAUAUUAAGUUUAGAGGAUUCUCCUAACGUGAUGAGUUUAGUUUCUCACUUUUAAAGAUCACUGGUGGCAAUGGUACUUCCUUUUAUGCAACAACUCCUGUAUGUACCAUUUGGUAAUUGGAGUUUGAUAAGACCAUGGAUCCUUAUAUACAAAACAUACUUGGCCAACUAAGGCCCUGCAGUCCAAUGUACGAUAUAUUAUCGUCAGCUGGGGAGGUGUUUGGCAAGGGUGUGACCGUUGUUUUUGGGACAAUGUUCAAGCAGGAGGCCAUGAAUCUGUCUAGUCUCGCCAUGGGGGGUGAGUUUAUCUCAUUGCUCCUUCCUGGUGUAAAGCCGAUCACUGAGGUUUAUGUUUAUCAAACCGAGCUCUUGAACCCAAUGUUUGGAACAUCAACGUCCCUCUCCAGUCGUAAUCAGGAUUUGAUCUAUCAUGAAGUUUUAGCUCCACAUAAGAUCCACGGCAUGUUAUCUGUCGGUGCAGCGGCUUUGAGUUGUCGGAAAAAAAGCCAGGAGCUUAAGUUAUUCCUCAGUUUAGUAUAGGGUGUCGAGGGAGAGCUGCUGAAGGGAAGGUGGACGAACCCACACGAGUGAAAACCCUACUUUAUUAGUCAUCAAUGCAAUUUCUCGCACUUUUUGAUACCUCCGAGGGGGUACACUUUAAAGGCAUGCAAAACGUGCCUUACAAUCAUGUUGGAUGAGGCUAGGCGGUGAAUGCAAUGCUGGGAAGUUUUGUCCCGGUUCGAGAGGUUGAGCGAGCCAACCAAUUCGAUGUUUUGAAUGGCCAAAGAAGAGGUGUUUACUCCUCUUACCAAUUGAGGUUUCGCACAACUUUUUGACUAGGGUUUCAGAAAGGUUGUAGUUUCACGAGGAGCCCAAAAGCGACUUGUUUUACCUAUGGGAUGUGAAGAUUGGCUCUGUACCUGACACGGAUUGAUUUAAGAAUAGUGAUGAAAGAAAUCAAUUUAUGAGAGACCAUAUUUCUGUUGUUUCGGUACAACUCAAGAUCAGUUAAGGAAAUAGGGAAUAACAAUAGUGAAAAGAAUAGAAAUAGCAUGACCCUUGCUUGGGACUUCUUUCUUCUAUCUCUAUAGAGAUGACCAGGAAGCAAAUGAGAAAUGGACUUCUUUUUUACUACGGUGAAACUAUGAUCAAACUCUCGAAUCUUACGUCCGUGUGAAAGACCGUCCUAGCCGUGAGUACAAAUGUGUCGAGGCGUUCUAAGUGCCGUAGACGAAUGCUUCUUGGCAGAAUAAAUGGUAUGACACGACCUCUUUUUGCUCCAUAAACGAAUUUGAAAAAGGAAGAAGGCUUUAGCUCCCUUCCAUUGUCUUGGGUCGAAGAUCAAGCGUGAACUUCUCCCUCAUCUAAGGUUGGGUUGUGGAUAACAGACUUCCCCUUGGGCCGGAUCUUCCCAAGUAUAACACGAUCCAUGAGCGAUAUCAAUGCAGUGACAGUCCUUACUAUUGAGUCAUGUGCUGGUAAGAUGACAAUGCUCUAAAAGGUUUGUUUAAGAAAGCAAUCAUAUCCCGUCCCCAAGUGCGGUAUGGACCCCAAAGAGUUAUAUAAGUAGGAAAAUGGGAAGAACUGAGGCACCUACAGAAGUAAUGGGUCAGCUUAUGAUUUUAGGCAUGGUUACUGGAGGGACCGUCCCUACCUAUCCGUGCAAGAUCGGAUCAGUAUGGUUUUGAGAGGAAGGCUGGUGGCAUACGAAGAGAGGGCGACAGAACAUCUGCAUUCCCUUUCUUUGAUUGAGAGAAGGAUAAAGCAGAAAAAAAGACUUGACUGAAAUUCCAUUCGCUUUUUUUCCUUCCUGAGAUAUGGAAUGUCAUUAAAUUAAGUAGAUGAGAUGCCAAAUAUAGGCAUGAGUUAUUUCGCCAAGCAAAGCUUUGUGUUCUGAAGGUAAAGAAAGACGGUAAAGCCCAUUAAAAAGAGUGCCACGCAGAAGCACCUCCUGUGUCACUCGAUCCAAACCCGACACAUCUUUCUUUCUAUACGAAAUGAGUUCGACCUUUUUUUCUAAAUAGAAACAGAAAAGAAAUUUAGGAAUAGUGCGGAUGCGACGGAACGAAUCAAGUGAAACGAGUCCCCCUUAUGACAUUUUUUCAUCCAAGCAAGGGCGCGUUGCAUGGGAUUCAUCAACAAAGGGAUAGGGAUAAGGGGCCGCACGUCCAAGACAGCCUUUCAUCUCAGUGCGCCAUGGAACCCCCAUCUUCCAAUUCCUCUUACAGAGAUCGUUGACUCACUUGCCUUAUUUUGAGGAUACUUCCAAGCCAAAACAAGACAAUGGGCAGUCACCAGAUCUUCUUUAUGGAGGUGGGACCGGGGACCUCCACAGCAAGAUCGUUGUACAGAAUGCUUGAGCACAAUGGCCACACACACUUCUCCCUGACCUCCAAAAGCUCCCUAUGACCCUUUGUACGGAGCAUUCAAAGUUCCUCGCGCCGUCAAGCAAGACUUUGAUCUCGAUUUGGGAGAGCAAACAUAGCUUCGCCAUCCCGCAAAGUAUCUUUAUUGAAUUUUGACCCUAUCUAGCGCUUAAAAAUCUUUCUUCUUUCUCCGUCACUAGAUUCCGAUUAAAACGCUUGGUCCACCCAUGCUUUUCCUCUCCAUUUUUCAUAUGGAAAGGGAAAGCAGUGCCAACUUAUUGGAAUUCUGCAUGGCAUAUUUCCCAACCUUCAUUCCUGCUAUUCCAGGCUCUAGUGAUUAGUCAUAAACCUAUUGCCCGCUCCGCUUUCCCAUUCCUAUUGCUUUCGGUAUCUGAAUCUUCUUGAAUUCAAGUAGAGAAUACCAGGGCUUUCUUCUUCUUUGAUUUUCCUUGGGGCAGAGGAUAAAAAAAAUGGAUUUCCGACAUAGCACCUGCGGCAUUAGGAUUCUAAGAUUUAGGAGGGGAAGGCUGAGGAGAGGGAUCACAUGCAUUGAAGCAAUCUCAAGAUUCAGAAACGAUCAAAAUAAUGGUACGGGGAGAAGAAAGAGAGGAGAGUCACGAAAAUAGGGUAAACGCAAAGAGACGAUGAAAAGCAAUCAGAGAGGAGAGGGAAGAAUGACAGUGGAAAUCAUAAAGCUCAGUGAGGAGCACAUUACUGUGAAUAAUAAUGGAGAGCGACAUUAAAGGGGAAAACUGAGCAAAGAGAUAUAUAAAUAUAUUAGACACUUCUACUUCGUUUUCUUGUUUAGAUUCAUUACUUCAGUGAUUGAACAUGGACAGAUACCUAUAAGGACCCCAUUUCAUUGACCUUCGCCCUUUUAUAUCCCUCGUUAAGAUAUGUUAUCCGGACCAAUUCCCACGUAGAAAACCAAGAGCAGUGAGUUACAAAACCAAGAGCAGUUAGAAUCGCGUAGCUGCGUGCCCCUUUUUCUGACUAGCUUCUUGUGAAAAGCAUUUCAGGCACGAGCACACCCGAUGAACUCAGAAACCUACUAUGGAAUCAAUCAACCCAUCGCACCCGAGUGCUCUGCUUGUUGGGAAACUUCGCAUGGGAAACAAAAAAUUUCCAACGCGCACGAAGACCUAUCAUGGUGAUGUCCUUCUACGAGAGGGGAUGAGUGAUCUACGUACCCUUGUUGAUCGUACAGCAGAAGCGUUAGUGAACGCGGUUGAUGUAGUGGAACGUCCUCACGUCCCUCGAUCCGCCCCGCGAAUAAUCCCGCGAUCAGUCCCACGAUCUAGUACCGAACGGACGGCACCUCCGCGUUCAGCACACGUACAACUCGACGAUGAUCUCGGCCUUCUUGAUCCAGCAAGAGAGACGGAGAGGUAGAAGAGUUUCUUCGGCAGCGUGACGGCGCUCUGGAGGUUGGUGAUGACCUUGUCUCAGCAGGGCUCCGCCCGAGCUCCGCAGAAACGCGAUCUAGAGGAAAAACCGUGGAGGUAUGUGGUCGGGCUGCCGUGGAAAAGUCGUCUCAAAUCAGCCCCAAUACCUCCGUAUAUAUAGGUGGGAGGGAGGGGACCUUGCCUUGGGGCUCAAGGAGCCCCAAGGGGGUCGGCCGAGUCCAAGGGGGGAAGGCUCCCCCCCCCCAAACCGAGUUGGACUUGGUUUGGUGGGUGGGAGUCCUUCCCUUCCUUCCCACCUCCCUUUUUUUUUCUUUCUCUUUGAUUUUUAUCUCUAUGGCGCAUAGGGGCCUUUUGGGCUGUCCCACCAGCCCACUAAGGGCUGGUGCGCCACCCUUAUGGCCUAUGGGCUUCCCCGGGGUGGGUUGCCCCCCCGGUGAACUCACGGAACCCAUUCGUCAUUCCCGGUACAUUCCCGGUAACUCCGAAAACCUUCCGGUAAUCAAAUGAGAUCAUCCUAU
rnacentral:lncRNA from 1 species